GUGGGGAAUAUUGGACAAUGGGCGAAAGCCUGAUCCAGCCAUGCCGCGUGAACGAUGAAGGCCUUCGGGUUGUAAAGUUCUUUAGCCGAUGAUUAUAAUGACUGUAGUCGGAAAAUAAGCCCCGGCUAACUUCGUACCAGCAGCCGCGGUAAUACGAAGGGGGCGAGCGUUAUUCGGAAUCACUGGGCGUAAAGCGUGCGUAGGCGGUUUUGUAAGUUAGGAGUGAAAGCCCAGGGCUCAACCUUGGAAUUGCUCUUAAAACUGCAAGGCUCGAAUCUCGGAGAGGAUAGCGGAAUUUCCAGUGUAGCAGUGAAAUGCGUAGAUAUUGGAAGGAACACCAGUGGCGUAAGCGGCUAUCUGGACGAGUAUUGACGCUGAGGCACGACAGCGUGGGGAUCAAACAGGAUUAGAAACCCUGGUAGUCC
rnacentral:rRNA from 1 species